AUGGGCGGUGGCAACGCGCAGAAGUCCAAGAUGGCGAGGGAGAGGAACCUCGAGAAGCUGAAGGGCGGCAAGGGGAGCCAGCUCGAGGCCAACAAGAAGGCCAUGAACAUCCAGUGCAAGAUAUGCAUGCAGACUUUCAUCUGCACCACCUCUGAAGCAAAGUGCAAGGAGCACGCCGAGGCGAAGCAUCCGAAGAGCGACCUCGUCCAGUGCUUCCCCCACCUCAAGCCGUGA
rnacentral:rRNA from 1 species